rnacentral:tRNA from 1 species
AGCAGCGUGGCUCAGUGGAAAGAGCCCGGACCUAGGAGACAGAGGUCAUGGGUUCGAAUCCCAGCUCUGCCA